CAGCAGCCGCGGUAAUACGUAGGGUGCAAGCGUUGUCCGGAAUUACUGGGCGUAAAGAGUUCGUAGGCGGUUUGUCGCGUCGUUUGUGAAAACCAGCAGCUCAACUGCUGGCUUGCAGGCGAUACGGGCAGACUUGAGUACUGCAGGGGAGACUGGAAUUCCUGGUGUAGCGGUGAAAUGCGCAGAUAUCAGGAGGAACACCGGUGGCGAAGGCGGGUCUCUGGGCAGUAACUGACGCUGAGGAACGAAAGCUUGGGUAGCGAACAGGAUUAGAUACCCUGGUAGUCCACGCCGUAAACGGUGGGCGCUAGGUGUGGGUUCCUUCCACGGAAUCCGUGCCGUAGCUAACGCAUUAAGCGCCCCGCCUGGGGAGUACGGCCGCAAGGUAAAAACUCAAAGGAAUUGACGGGGGCCCGCACAAGCGGCGGAGCAUGUGGAUUAAUCGAUGCAACGCGAGGAACCUUACCUGGGUUUGACAUAUACCGGAAAGCUGCAGAGAUGUGGCCCCCCUUGUGGUCGGUAUACAGGUGGUGCAUGGCUGUCGUCAGCUCCGUGUCGUGAGAUGUUGGGUUAAGUCCCGCAACGAGCGCAACCCCUAUCUUAUGUUGCCAGCACGUUAUGGUGGGGACACGUAAGAGACUGCCGGGGUCAACUCGGAGGAAGGUGGGGACGACGUCAAGUCAUCAUGCCCCUUAUGUCCAGGGCUUCACACAUGCUACAAUGGCCAGUACAGAGGGCUGCGAGACCGUGAGGUGGAGCGAAUCCCUUAAAGCUGGUCUCAGUUCGGAUCGGGGUCUGCAACUCGACCCCGUGAAGUCGGAGUCGCUAGUAAUCGCAGAUCAGCAACGCUGCGGUGAAUACGUUCCCGGGCCUUGUGCACACCGCCCGU
rnacentral:rRNA from 1 species